rnacentral:rRNA from 1 species
GACUGGCUCAGGAUGAACGCUAGCUACAGGCUUAACACAUGCAAGUCGAGGGGAAACGACAUCGAAAGCUUGCUUUUGAUGGGCGUCGACCGGCGCACGGGUGAGUAACGCGUAUCCAACCUGCCCAUCACUUGGGAAUAACCUUGCGAAAGUAAGACUAAUGCCCAAUGAUAUCCCACGAAGGCAUCCGAAUGGGAUUAAAGAUUUAUCGGUGAUGGAUGGGGAUGCGUCUGAUUAG